UACGUAGGGUGCAAGCGUUAAUCGGAAUUACUGGGCGUAAAGCGUGCGCAGGCGGUUAUGUAAGACAGAUGUGAAAUGCCCGGGCUUAACCUGGGAACUGCAUUUGUGACUGCACGGCUAGAAUCUGGCAGAGGGGGGUAGAAUUCCACGUGUAGCAGUGAAAUGCGUAGAGAUGUGGAGGAAUACCGAUGGCGAAGGCAGCCCCCUGGGCCAAGAUUGACGCUCAUGCACGAAAGCGUGGGGAGCAAACAGG
rnacentral:rRNA from 1 species